GACGAACGCUGGCGGCGUGCUUAACACAUGCAAGUCGAACGGAAAGGCCCUGCUUUUGUGGGGUGCUCGAGUGGCGAACGGGUGAGUAACACGUGAGUAACCUGCCCUUGACUUUGGGAUAACUUCAGGAAACUGGGGCUAAUACCGGAUAGGAGCUCCUGCUGCAUGGUGGGGGUUGGAAAGUUUCGGCGGUUGGGGAUGGACUCGCGGCUUAUCAGCUUGUUGGUGGGGUAGUGGCUUACCAAGGCUUUGACGGGUAGCCGGCCUGAGAGGGUGACCGGCCACAUUGGGACUGAGAUACGGCCCAGACUCCUACGGGAGGCAGCAGUGGGGAAUAUUGCACAAUGGGCGGAAGCCUGAUGCAGCAACGCCGCGUGCGGGAUGACGGCCUUCGGGUUGUAAACCGCUUUCGCCUGUGACGAAGCGUGAGUGACGGUAAUGGGUAAAGAAGCACCGGCUAACUACGUGCCAGCAGCCGCGGUGAUACGUAGGGUGCGAGCGUUGUCCGGAUUUAUUGGGCGUAAAGGGCUCGUAGGUGGUUGAUCGCGUCGGAAGUGUAAUCUUGGGGCUUAACCCUGAGCGUGCUUUCGAUACGGGUUGACUUGAGGAAGGUAGGGGAGAAUGGAAUUCCUGGUGGAGCGGUGGAAUGCGCAGAUAUCAGGAGGAACACCAGUGGCGAAGGCGGUUCUCUGGGCCUUUCCUGACGCUGAGGAGCGAAAGCGUGGGGAGCGAACAGGCUUAGAUACCCUGGUAGUCCACGCUGUAAACGGUGGGUACUAGGUGUGGGGUCCAUUCCACGGGUUCCGUGCCGUAGCUAACGCUUUAAGUACCCCGCCUGGGGAGUACGGCCGCAAGGCUAAAACUCAAAGGAAUUGACGGGGCCCCGCACAAGCGGCGGAGCAUGCGGAUUAAUUCGAUGCAACGCGUAGAACCUUACCUGGGUUUGACAUGGAUCGGGAGCGCUCAGAGAUGGGUGUGCCUCUUUUGGGGUCGGUUCACAGGUGGUGCAUGGCUGUCGUCAGCUCGUGUCGUGAGAUGUUGGGUUAAGUCCCGCAACGAGCGCAACCCUUGUUCACUGUUGCCAGCACGUUAUGGUGGGGACUCAGUGGAGACCGCCGGGGUCAACUCGGAGGAAGGUGGGGAUGACGUCAAGUCAUCAUGCCCCUUAUGUCCAGGGCUUCACGCAUGCUACAAUGGCUGGUACAGAGAGUGGCGAGCCUGUGAGGGUGAGCGAAUCUCGGAAAGCCGGUCUCAGUUCGGAUUGGGGUCUGCAACUCGACCUCAUGAAGUCGGAGUCGCUAGUAAAUCGCAGAUCAGCAACGCUACGGUGAAUACGUUCCCGGGGCU
rnacentral:rRNA from 1 species